AACGAACGCUGGCGGCGCGCCUAAUACAUGCAAGUCGAGCGAGAAGACGUAGCAAUACGCUUGUAAAGCGGCGAACGGGUGAGGAAUACAUGGGUAACCUACCCUCGAGUGGGGAAUAACUAGCCGAAAGGUUAGCUAAUACCGCGUACGCUCCUUGGACUUCGGUUCAGGGAGGAAAGCGAUACCGUGGGUAUCGCGCUCUUGGAUGGGCUCAUGUCCUAUCAGCUUGUUGGNGAGGUAACGGCUCACCAAGGCUUCGACGGGUAGCUGGUCUGAGAGGACGAUCAGCCACACUGGCACUGCGACACGGGCCAGACUCCUACGGGAGGCAGCAGUAAGGAAUAUUGCGCAAUGGGCGAAAGCCUGACGCAGCGACGCCGCGGUGGGGGAGUGAA
rnacentral:rRNA from 1 species